rnacentral:rRNA from 1 species
UAUUACCGCGGCUGCUGGCACGGAGUUAGCCGAUGCUGAUUCCUCAGGUACCUUCACUUUCUUAUUCCCUGAGAAAAGAGGUUUACAACCCAAGAGCCUUCCUCCCUCACGCGGUAUUGCUCCGUCAGGCUUUCGCCCAUUGCGGAAAAUUCCCCACUGCUGCCUCCCGUAGGAGUCUGGGCCGUGUCUCAGUCCCAGUGUGGCUGGUCAUCCUCUCAGACCAGCUACUGAUCGUCGCCUAGGUGCGCUCUUACCACACCUAUUAGCUAAUCAGACGCGAGCUCAUCAAAAGGCGAUUAAUCUUUCACCCACAGGCACAUCCGGUAUUAGCAGUCGUUUCCAACUGUUGUCCCGAACCUUUUGCCAGAUUCUCACGCGUUACUCACCCGUCCGCCACUAAGUUCCGAAGAACUCCGUUCGACUUGCAUGUGUUAAGCAUACCGCCAGCGUUCAUCCUGAGCCAGAAUCAAACUCU